rnacentral:miRNA from 1 species
UGAACCUUAGGGAACAGCCGCAU